GAUGAACGCUGGCGGCGUGCCUAAUACAUGCAAGUCGAGCGAACGGACGAGAAGCUUGCUUCUCUGAUGUUAGCGGCGGACGGGUGAGUAACACGUGGAUAACCUACCUAUAAGACUGGGAUAACUUCGGGAAACCGGAGCUAAUACCGGAUAAUAUUUUGAACCGCAUGGUUCAAAAGUGAAAGACGGUCUUGCUGUCACUUAUAGAUGGAUCCGCGCUGCAUUAGCUAGUUGGUAAGGUAACGGCUUACCAAGGCAACGAUGCAUAGCCGACCUGAGAGGGUGAUCGGCCACACUGGAACUGAGACACGGUCCAGACUCCUACGGGAGGCAGCAGUAGGGAAUCUUCCGCAAUGGGCGAAAGCCUGACGGAGCAACGCCGCGUGAGUGAUGAAGGUCUUCGGAUCGUAAAACUCUGUUAUUAGGGAAGAACAUAUGUGUAAGUAACUGUGCACAUCUUGACGGUACCUAAUCAGAAAGCCACGGCUAACUACGUGCCAGCAGCCGCGGUAAUACGUAGGUGGCAAGCGUUAUCCGGAAUUAUUGGGCGCUAAGCGCGCGUAGGCGGUUUUUUAAGUCUGAUGUGAAAGCCCACGGCUCCACCGUGGAGGGUCAUUGGAAACUGGAAAACUUGAGUGCAGAAGAGGAAAGUGGAAUUCCAUGUGUAGCGGUGAAAUGCGCAGAGAUAUGGAGGAACACCAGUGGCGAAGGCGACUUUCUGGUCUGUAACUGACGCUGAUGUGCGAAAGCGUGGGGAUCAAACAGGAUUAGAUACCCUGGUAGUCCACGCCGUAAACGAUGAGUGCUAAGUGUUAGGGGGUUUCCGCCCCUUAGUGCUGCAGCUAACGCAUUAAGCACUCCGCCUGGGGAGUACGACCGCAAGGUUGAAACUCAAAGGAAUUGACGGGGACCCGCACAAGCGGUGGAGCAUGUGGUUUAAUUCGAAGCAACGCGAAGAACCUUACCAAAUCUUGACAUCCUUUGACAACUCUAGAGAUAGAGCCUUCCCCUUCGGGGGGCAAAGUGACAGGUGGUGCAUGGUUGUCGUCAGCUCGUGUCGUGAGAUGUUGGGUUAAGUCCCGCAACGAGCGCAACCCUUAAGCUUAGUUGCCAUCAUUAAGUUGGGCACUCUAAGUUGACUGCCGGUGACAAACCGGAGGAAGGUGGGGAUGACGUCAAAUCAUCAUGCCCCUUAUGAUUUGGGCUACACACGUGCUACAAUGGACAAUACAAAGGGCAGCGAAACCGCGAGGUCAAGCAAAUCCCAUAAAGUUGUUCUCAGUUCGGAUUGUAGUCUGCAACUCGACUACAUGAAGCUGGAAUCGCUAGUAAUCGUAGAUCAGCAUGCUACGGUGAAUACGUUCCCGGGUCU
rnacentral:rRNA from 1 species